AUUGAACGCUGGCGGCAUGCCUUACACAUGCAAGUCGAACGGCAGCACGGGAGCAAUCCUGGUGGCGAGUGGCGAACGGGUGAGUAAUAUAUCGGAACGUGCCCAGUCGUGGGGGAUAACGUAGCGAAAGCUACGCUAAUACCGCAUACGAUCUAUGGAUGAAAGCGGGGGAUCGCAAGACCUCGCGCGAUUGGAGCGGCCGAUAUCAGAUUAGGUAGUUGGUGAGGUAAAGGCUCACCAAGCCGACGAUCUGUAGCUGGUCUGAGAGGACGACCAGCCACACUGGGACUGAGACACGGCCCAGACUCCUACGGGAGGCAGCAGUGGGGAAUUUUUGGACAAUGGGCGCAAGCCUGAUCCAGCAAUGCCGCGUGCAGGAUGAAGGCCUCGGUUGUAACUAGCUUUGUACGGUAACGAACGGUAGAGCUCUAAUACAG
rnacentral:rRNA from 1 species